rnacentral:tRNA from 1 species
GCCCAGGUGGCGGAAUUGGUAGACGCACUAGCUUCAGGUGCUAGCGCUCGCAAGGGCGUGCUGGUUCGAGUCCAGUCCUGGGCACCA